CCUAAAGUGCUACAUAUGCAAUGUAGACGUAAAAAUAAUGGUGGAAGGAAGUCGAGUAAUUACACAAAUUUGAAAGAAGAGAAAAGAAAUAUGGGGAAUCGACGAAGAAGUUUAAAAGCGUUCUGCUGUGAGAGUGUGGAUUAACAUUAACAGAGAAAAGGAAUUCAGAAUGAUGAUUCAGGGAGCAUCGAAUUUGGGACAUCCUGUAUUGCAUGAAUCAUUCGCAAAUCUGGGGAUAUUUGCUCGCCCUACUGAUGUUACUGCCAAUUCACGAUGUUGUCGAUGCAUCAUUCAGAUUUUUAUUCAAAUUUGACAUUUUAAAUUCAAUAAUAAUUUUAAUAUUUUGCAAAAAGGCUUCGUUUCUUAUCUUGAAUAAUACAUUUACUACUGUGCAAUACCAUGCAAAUUCUAAAAUUUUUCGAAAUGCAACACAAAAUGUGAAUAUUUCGAUGAUCAAUUGAUAUUGAAACUUGGAAAAAAUCCACUCUGACAACUUAGGUGGAAAACAUUUUAUGAAGUCAUUUCAUUGCUAAGAUAAAAAUCCUAUAUGUAUACGCAAAAUUUCACCACGGGUGAGCAAUGCAACAACCAGGGGGGUACUGUAGCCCCAAAGCCUCUCCAGCUGCACUUGUGCGGUUGGAUCUUUUAUUACACAUCGAAAACUCUCACAAUUUUAUUGAACAUACAGUGACUUUAUCCAGGAUAUAAUGUGUAUAAGAUAUGUAUAUAUUAUGUAUAAAGUAACUGUAAUCGCACAUUGUUAUUCGCGCUACCUGCUGGCUUGGGGUGGGUACUGGGUCUUGGGUCUGGCAGUAGGAUUCUGUUUUGAGAAGAUGGACUCAACUGGUUCUAGUAAUUUUUGGAAUGUGAGUAAAUACAAAUGGUUACCAACAUAUUUCUCAUAAGUCUUCAAAACCUUCAGAAACUGACUGAAACUAGCACUUUAUUUUCGUUGAAGUUGUAUAUUAUAUUGGGAAAUGCACCGUCUUUGAGUUACAAGUACAGUGACUUGAUAAAUAUUUUAUCAAGUCACUAUAGUUACAAGCAUCAUACAGCGUCAUCAUCUAUUGAUCAUAUAUUGAAAAAACCCCUUCAGUUCAUCCCAAGCCAGGAGAGGGUGCAGAAAUACUGUUUCGGCACGUAUCUCAUAUCUACUCAAAUUCACACUGAAUUGUAAAAUGGUUGAACACAUACAAUUCAACGAGUGUAAGUAAUUAUUUUGACAUGUGUUGUCUCAAUAGCAUAUUUUCAUUAGUUUAUGAUGAACAGAAAUAAAAUAAAAAUGAAUAUCUUGAAGGUUAAUUAGUAGAUGAAGAGUUUAUGAUAUUCUAGGCUAUAUUUUGGUUGAUCAAUCUCAUUGAAUUGUAAAAGUUAUUCAUGAAAUCACCUAUUCUUUUCAACAAAUAUUCAGCUGAAAAAACUCCAACGAUUAGAGAAAUAAAACAUUUAUUUGAUUC